AUUCACCUAAAUCCCACCAAAAUUAAAACACUCUACAACUCCUUAAAUAUAGUUUUUGGGUUUGUAAAGAGUAAAAUUUCAACAGAAACUGUAAGAUAUUUUAUUUAUUGUUUUCUUAGGUUCUAAUCCGUGCCAAAAUACAAAAUCGUAAUUUAAAACUAAAAUUUGGGCCAAAAUAUGAAAUUUUAUUUCAUGAAAAUUCAAUAUUGAAAAAGAUAAACUACACCUGAUUUUAUAUAUUUAAUAUAUUUUAUUAGAUAAACUUUUAACCUGUGCCAAAAUGCAAGAUCAUAAUAUUUUAAAACGUCAUUUUAAUCUGUACCAAAACGCAAUAUCAUAAUGUUUUUAUUGAACGAAAUAUUGUUAUUGAUUUAUUAAGUUAUAUGAUUUUAAUGAAAUGAAAUUCAUUCUGUUUAAGUAAGAUUUAAGCGUUUGAUAAAAUGAUAACUAUUUUUAUUUCAUCAAAUCUAUUAUAAUAAAGUUGAAGAGAAACUCUUCACAAUGCGCCACAUCAUCCCUCAUAUCUCUAUUUUGUGUCACGUGUCGAGAAAAGAGAGGGUUUUUUUUCUUUUAUUCUUCCAAUUCGUGGAUUUUCUUCUUCUUUUUUCUUUGGUGUUUCUGGCUCGUUCAUUAGCUGGAUUUUCUGAUUAUUUAUUGGGCCUUUCUAUUUAUUUAUUGGCCUAUACUUUGAUAUAUGCAACCCGUUUGUGUUUAGAAUUAGGUGUGCCAUCUUCAGCUGAUCGACGCCGUCACCUUCCAUCGUCCCCGACUGCGUUUUCGUGUAACGUCUUCGUUUUCACUUAAUAUCAAGCUUUAAAUCAAUCAUUAAGCUUCACCCCACCUUUCUUCCCACUCUGUCUCAUUUAUUCUCAUUAACAAGCGGUGUUUGUAACAGAUCCAAGGUCGAGCUAUAAAUAAGUGUUUUGGAGCGACGAAGAUAUGCAGCAUUGAGAUAUCUUAUAGCUUAAGAAAUCCGACGGAUGCCUUCAGUUAUGUCGUUUUCCUAUGUUCUUCUCGCCAACUUGAGAGCAGACCAUUGCUCAAACACGGCGGAGGUGCGUCUUCUGAGGUUCUGGGAACAUAAUUUCCAUUUUUCUUACAUUAAUUAAUGGCUUCGUACAAACAUAAGUUGACUGGUAUAUAGGGAAAGUAAUCUUUGAUUCUUGAUCACACAAAAUUAAUAUGGAUUUAUUAUGUUUAAAUUUCAGUUUAAUUUCUGUAUUGCUUUCUACAAUUGUUUAAAUUUUAAUACAAAAUAUUUUUUUUUAAUAAUUUAUCCCCAAAAAUAUAUAUAUUUCAUUCCCACAUUACUUUUUUAUAACAAUAACAAAAAAAAUACAUUUCAAACUAAAACAAAGCUAAAUGUCUAAACUUAAACUUCAAAUGCCGAGGCUAUAACAUACAAUUCACCAUUUCCUUCCAAUAUAUCUUCAUUACUAAACCUAAUAGACAUUAUCUUCACUACUAAACCUAAUACACAUUAUUCACCAUUCCGAUCAUGAAUCUCAUAUUCGUUACAAAAAAACAAUCUAUAUAUAAUAGCAAACCCAAUUUUGAUGCUAGAUGACCUAAUCAUUUUUUUAUAGGAAAAUAAAAUUUAAAUCUAACGGUUUAGUUUAACAAUAUUUUGUAAUCUAACGGACAUGAACAUCUCUUAUUUAUAAGAUCCGACGUCAUCAAUCUCUUUCACCAAAAGUAAAUAAGAUCCGACGUCAUCAAUCUCUUUCACCAAAAGGCGUCUCAAUCAACUGCUCUCUGAACGAGCACCCCUUAUCUUUGCAAAGGACACCUCAUUUGCCUCCUUUCGGAUUCAACCCGUCUCUAAAAUCCAUCUAUAUAUUGAAGUUUCAGAUUUCUUAUCCCUUUGCAUAUUCCAUCAUCAUUCUGUCCAUUUACAUUGUCCAUCAUCCUCAUCCAGUUUUAGAUCACAGCCUUAAUAACAUCCAUAAGUGCAUCACUCACGCGUGUGCCUUGAAGUGGAGAAGUUUGGAGUUGGAAAAGAAGUAGAGAGACUCCAACCGUGCGUUUCUAUGGGAACCUGAUCUUUAUGAUGUCACAAAUCAUUAAUUUAUAAAUACAAGCAUAAUCUAUUCAUAAUAGAAGGUACGUAUUAAUGUAAAUUUUAUGCUUUUGAGUUUUGAGUGAUUAAAAGAUUUCAUAUAGUUGUGUUGUUCUGUUCCUCAGAAAGAAACACUGUAAAAACAGAUGAAGAAAGAAACCAACGAUGAGUUCAUAAAAAGUUGUGAUUAUAUUUUUUAGUUUC